rnacentral:lncRNA from 1 species
UUUACCACCAAUGAAAGACCUUGACUCAUAUAUAUCCACCUGGGGAGAGAGGGGGGGGGGGGGGGGGGGGGAAGAAGAAAUCUUCUAAUUUCUUUCACCAUCAACAAAAUCAGUGAAACACAUACUAAUUCAAAAUAAAAUAAACUUUGUGAAUUGAAAUAAUGCCUGCUCUAAAGAAAAUGAUAACUGCUAUUCAUUUUUCUGAACUGCUGAUAAAAGCUUCUGCUAUUUACUUCGAAAAAAUUGAGUAACUUCAAAUUUUGAGUUUAGGCAAGAGGAUGAAUGGUAAAAGUGAGACAUUUUAGGGGAAAAGAA